rnacentral:rRNA from 1 species
AUUGAACGCUGGCGGCAUGGCUUAGACAUGCAAGUCGAACGGCAUCGGUGGAGCAGCUUGCUCGUUGAUUCAGCGGCGGACGGGUGCGUAAUGCCUAGGAACCUGCCUGGCAGCUGGGGAUAACGUUCUGUAAGGAACGGUAAAACCGCAUAAGUGCUGCGGGAGAGAGCAGGGGACCUCCGGACCUAGUGCUCUCAGAGGAGCGUAAGUCGGAUUAGCUAGUUGGUGAGGUAAUGGCUCACCAAGGCGACGAUCCGUAGCUGGUCUGAGAGGAUGAUCAGUAACAGUGGAACUGAGACACGGUGCAGACUCCUACGGGAGGCAGCAGUGGGGAAUAUUGGACAAUGGGCGAAAGCCAGAUCCAGCCAAGCCGCGUGUGUGAAGAAGGUCUUCGGAUUGUAAAGCACGUUAGGUUGGGAGGAAUGGAAGUAAGUUAAUACCUUGCUGUUUUGACGUUACCAACAGAAUAAGCGCCGGCUAACUUCGUGCCAGCCGCCGCUGUAA